UCAGGCCUAACACAUGCAAGUCGAACGGCAGCGCGGGAGCAAUCCUGGCGGCGAGUGGCGAACGGGUGAGUAAUGCAUCGGAACGUGCCCGGUAGUGGGGGAUAACUGCUCGAAAGAGCAGCUAAUACCGCAUACGACCUGAGGGUGAAAGGGGGGGAUCGCAAGACCUCUCGCUAUCGGAGCGGCCGAUGUCGGAUUAGCUAGUUGGUGGGGUAAAGGCCCACCAAGGCAACGAUCCGUAGCUGGUCUGAGAGGACGACCAGCCACACUGGGACUGAGACACGGCCCAGACUCCUACGGGAGGCAGCAGUGGGGAAUUUUGGACAAUGGACGCAAGUCUGAUCCAGCCAUGCCGCGUGCGGGAAGAAGGCCUUCGGGUUGUAAACCGCUUUUGUCAGGGAAGAAAUCUUCUGGGCUAAUACCCGGGAGG
rnacentral:rRNA from 1 species